UAAUACGUAGGUGGCAAGCGUUAUCCGGAAUUACUGGGCGUAAAGCGCACGCAGGUGGCAUGUUAAGUCUGACGUGAAAGCUCCUGGCUUAACUGGGAGAGGUCGUUGGAGACUGGCAGGCUUGAGGUAAGGAGAGGGGUGCAGAAUUCCCGGUGUAGUGGUGGAAUGCGUAGAUAUCGGGAGGAAUACCAGUGGCGAAAGCGGCACCCUGGCCUUGGCCUGACGCUCAGGUGCGAAAGCGUGGGGAGCGAACGGGAUUAGAUACCCCGGUAGUCCACGCUGUAAACGAUGAACACUAGGUGUAGGAGGUGUUAAAACCAUCUGCGCCGAAGCCAACGCGAUAAGUGUUCCGCCUGGGGAGUACGACCGCAAGGUUAAAACUUAAAGGAAUUGACGG
rnacentral:rRNA from 1 species